rnacentral:rRNA from 1 species
GAUGAACGCUAGCGAUAGGCUUAACACAUGCAAGUCGAGGGGCAGCGAGGGUAGCAAUACCUGUCGGCGACCGGCGCACGGGUGAGUAACGCGUAUGUAACCUGCCCGCAACAGUGGGAUAACCCGGCGAAAGUCGUUCUAAUACCGCAUAAAACAGUGGUCCCGCCUGUGAAUAUUUGUUAAAGUUUUAUCUUUUGCGGAUGGGCAUGCGUUCCAUUAGGUAGUUGGUGAGGUAACGGCUCACCAAGCCUUCGAUGGUUAGGGGUUCUGAGAGGAAGGUACCCCACAAUGGUAAUGAGAAAAGGACCAGACUCCUACGGGAGGCAGCAGAGAGGAAUAUUGGACAAUGGGCGAGAGCAUGAAACAGCAAAGUCGAGGGAAGGAAGAAUGGGGUAUGGGUUGUAAACGAAUUUUAAAAGGGAAAAAAAGGAGAAACGGGUAUUUUAAGGAAUGUAACUUGGGAAUAAGCAACGGCUAACUACGUG